rnacentral:rRNA from 1 species
CCUACGGGGGGCUGCAGUAAGGAAUAUUGGUCAAUGGAGGAAACUCUGAACCAGCCAUCCCGCGUGAAGGAUGAAGGGGCUCUGCCUUGUAAACUUCUUUUGUCUGGGGCGAAAAAGCUCGAUUUAUCGAGAACUGACGGUACCAGAAGAAUAAGCACCGGCUAACUCCGUGCCAGCAGCCUCGGUAAUACGGAGGGUGCAGGCGUUAUUGGGUGUCAAGGGGUUGAAGGGGGCCUAGUAAGUCUUAGGUGAAAGGCUGUGGCUUAACCAUGGAAUUGCCAUGGAUACUGCAGAGCUUGAAUGAGGUUGAGGUUGGCGGAAUGUGACAUGUAGCGGUGAAAUGCUUAGAUAUGUCAUGGAACACCGAUUGCGAAGGCAGCUGACUGGACCUAUAUUGACGCUGAGGCACGAAAGCGUGGGGAGCGAACAGGAUUAGAUACCCUAGUAGUC